rnacentral:rRNA from 1 species
UACGUAGGUGGCAAGCGUUGUCCGGAUUUACUGGGCGUAAAGAGCGCGCAGGCGGUUCAUCAAGUCGAAUGUGAAAGCCCCCGGCUUAACCGGGGAGGGUCGUUGGGGACGGCGGGGCUUGAGGGCGGGAGAGGUCGGUGGAAUUCCCGGUGUAGAGGUGAAAUUCGUAGAUAUUGGGAAGAACACCGGUGGCGAAGGCGGCUCUCUGGACCACAACUGACGCUGAGGCGCGAAAGCGUGGGGAGCAAACAGG